rnacentral:rRNA from 1 species
UUGAACGCUGGCGGCAGGCCUAACACAUGCAAGUCGAACGGUAACAGGAAGCAGCUUGCUGCUUYGCUGACGAGUGGCGGACGGGUGAGUAAUGUCUGGGAAACUGCCUGAUGGAGGGGGAUAACUACUGGAAACGGUGGCUAAUACCGCAUAACGUCGCAAGACCAAAGAGGGGGACCUUCGGGCCUCUUGCCAUCAGAUGUGCCCAGAUGGGAUUAGCUAGUUGGUGAGGUAACGGCUCACCAAGGCGACGAUCCCUAGCUGGUCUGAGAGGAUGACCAGCCACACUGGAACUGAGACACGGUCCAGACUCCUACGGGAGGCAGCAGUGGGGAAUAUUGCACAAUGGGCGCAAGCCUGAUGCAGCCAUGCCGCGUGUAUGAAGAAGGCCUUAGGGUUGUAAAGUACUUUCAGCGGGGAGGAAGGUGUUGUGGUUAAUAACCACAGCAAUUGACGUUACCCGCAGAAGAAGCACCGGCUAACUCC